rnacentral:rRNA from 1 species
AGGGUUUGAUUAUGGCUCAGGAUGAACGCUGGCGGCGUGCUUAACACAUGCAAGUCGAACGAAGCACUUUUACAGAUUUCUUCGGAAUGAAGUUUUAGUGACUGAGUGGCGGACGGGUGAGUAACGCGUGGGUAACCUGCCUCACACAGGGGGAUAACAGUUGGAAACGGCUGCUAAUACCGCAUAAGCGCACAGUACCGCAUGGUACAGUGUGAAAAACUCCGGUGGUGUGAGAUGGACCCGCGUCUGAUUAGCUAGUUGGCAGGGCAACGGCCUACCAAGGCGACGAUCAGUAGCCGACCUGAGAGGGUGACCGGCCACAUUGGGACUGAGACACGGCCCAA